UACGUAGGGUGCAAGCGUUAAUCGGAAUUACUGGGCGUAAAGCGCGUGUAGGCGGCUUUGCAAGUCGGGUGUGAAAUCCCCAGGCCUAACCUGGGAACUGCAUUCGAGACUGCAUGGCUGGAGUAUGGGAGAGGGAAGUGGAAUUUCAGGUGUAGCGGUGAAAUGCGUAGAUAUCUGAAGGAACAUCAGUGGCGAAAGCGACUUCCUGGACCAAUACUGACGCUCAUGUGCGAAAGCGUGGGGAGCAAACAGG
rnacentral:rRNA from 1 species